CAGAAGUUGUCUUUUAUUGUGAUUGGGCGCGAGUCGAAGACAAAGUACAUGGAUCAUAUGUGGAUCGAGAGACAAAGUUGAGGUUUGUCAAUUUUGAAAAGUUUGCGAGAAGCUCAAAGGAAGAAGACGAGCCGUUCAUCCAUGCUUCUCGAGCUAGCCAAGUUUUUUACUGCAGCGAUUUGACAAGAAAGCAUUGGAAUCUGGUUUUGGAAUCUCCUAUAAGAUCAGACCCCCAUAUGAAUGCUUUUGAAGAUCCAUAUGUCUUCACUGCAACCUCUAGUGAUUCUCCAUUGAUUUCAGAAACGGUUGGAGAUGAUGAUUAUUGGAGUGGAAUUGCUCAGGGAGAUGAUGAGUAUUCGGAUGUAGAUGAUCAGGAACUAGCACUAGCUGAA